AUUGAACGCUGGCGGUAGGCUUAACACAUGCAAGUCGUGCGAGAAAGUAUCUUCGGAUAUGAGUAGAGCGGCGGACGGGUGAGUAACGCGUAGGAAUCUACCUAGUAGAAGGGGAUAGCCCGGGGAAACUCGGAUUAAUACCGUAUACCUCCUUCGGGAGAAAGAAGGCCUCUCAUUGAAGCUUUCGCUACUAGAUGAGCCUGCGUAAGAUUAGCUUGUUGGUGAGGUAAAGGCUCACCAAGGCGACGAUCUUUAGCGGGUCUGAGAGGACGAUCCGCCACAUUGGGACUGAGACACGGCCCAGACUCCUACGGGAGGCAGCAGUGGGGAAUAUUGGACAAUGGGCGCAAGCCUGAUCCAGCCAUACCGCGUGUGUGAAGAAGGCCCUAGGGUUGUAAAGCACUUUAAGUUGGGAAGAAAAGUUAUUGGUUAAUACCC
rnacentral:rRNA from 1 species